GCUAGUGGUAAUGAAGCGAAAGCUAAGUGACCGCAGGGAGCUAGCACAGGUGCUGCAUGGCUGUCGUCAGCUCGUGUCGUGAGAUGUUCGGUUAAGUCCGCUAACCGAGCGCAACCCUCGUCGUGUGUUAUACGUGUCACACGAUACUGCCGGUAUCAAGCCGGAGGAAGGUGGGGAUGAUGUCAAGUCAGCAUGGCCUUUAUAUCCUGGGCUACACACACGCUACAAUGGCAGAUACAAUAGGUUGCGAAACCGCGAGGUGGAGCCAAUCCUCAAAGUCUGUCUCAGUUCAGAUUGUAGGCUGCAACUCGCCUGCAUGAAGUUGGAGUUGCUAGUAAACGCAGGUCAGCUAUACUGCGUUGAAUACGUUCCCGGGGUUU
rnacentral:rRNA from 1 species